GAAGCGCUAGUUAAAAUAUAACUAUACCUUGUCAAGGUAUCAUUACAGGUUUGACCCCUGUGCCCCU
rnacentral:tRNA from 1 species